UCGAGGGGCAGCGGAUCCCUCCGGGGAUGCCGGCGACCGGCGAACGGGUGAGUAACACGUAUGGAACCUACCCUUAACUGGGGAAUAGCCUUGAGAAAUCGAGGGUAAUACCCCAUAUCAUCUGAAAGAGGCAUCUCUUUCAGAUGAAAGCUCCGGCGGUUAAGGAUGGCCAUGCGGUCCAUUAGCUUGUUGGUGAGAUAACCGCUCACCAAGGCUACGAUGGAUAGCUGAUCUGAGAGGAUGAUCAGCCACAUUGGCACUGAGACACGGGCCAAACUCCUACGGGAGGCAGCAGUAGGGAAUCUUGGUCAAUUGGCGAAAGCCAGAACCAGUCAUGCCGCGUGCAGGAUGAAGGCCCUAUGGGUCGUAAACUGCUUUUAUUCGGGAAGAAAAAGUCUGUUUCCACAGACCUUGACGGUACCGAUUGAAUAAGGACCGGCCAACUCCGUGCCAGCAGCCGCGGUAAUACGGAGGGUCCAAGCGUUAUCCGGAUUCACUGGGUUUAAAGGGUGCGCAGGCGGCCAAGUAAGUCAGUGGUGAAAGCCUUCGGCUCAACCGGAGAAUUGCCAUUGAAACUACUUGGCUUGAGUGCAGCGGAGGUAGGCGGAAUGUAGCAUGUAGCGGUGAAAUGCAUAGAUAUGCUACAGAACACCGAUAGCGAAAGCAGCUUACCACACUGUAACUGACGCUGAGGCACGAAAGCAUGGGUAGCAAACAGGAUUAGAUACCC
rnacentral:rRNA from 1 species